AAGCGCAUUACACAACCCAAAGUGCAUAUGCCUAUACACAAAGUAUUGAAAAGGCAUGUGAAUGUCAUCUUUUCUUGGUCUUCCGGUGCAAUUGGAAUCAGAUUAUAACCAGAAUACCCAUCUACAAACAAUAAUAGGCAUAUCCAGCAAGUCUAUCCAACAUCAAAUCAAUAACGGAAAAGGAAAAUGAUCUUUUCGAGUCUCAUUGCUCAAUUUCCUAUAGUCAGUGCAUAUUCUCCAUCUCAACUCAAACCACUUCCUUCAUAUUUGGAUUUAAUCUACAUUGAUGCUCAACUGAAGGCUUGUAAUUGUCUUCCAACAAGAUUUGAUGCAUACACAUGGACGAACUAAUUCCUUUGAUGUUAGCAAUACACCACCCAAUUGUCAUUUUAUGCUUUCUUGCACUCUCAAUAAUUUUUCUUCUUCAACUUCACUUAAAUUUGCAGAAAUUAUAACAGUUAAAGUUUUAGAAGUUCACAAUAAAGCAUACCUUAAAUGUGGCGAUGAUGCUUUUAGAGUAAGGGUAAGUGUGGCUAUGAUACUUGGCUGCAAUUUUGAAGGU
rnacentral:lncRNA from 1 species